rnacentral:misc_RNA from 1 species
CCCUUCCCGCCAAUUCCCCACUCUUUACUCUCCUAAGUCAACUAAUAUUUCCACUCUCACUACCACUUCUACGAGUAUCGCUACCGCGCGUCUCUUAGUGCGAGCCUUCUCCUCCGAUUUCGGUGCGAAAAUCGGUGAAACCCUCGGGGACGUUACCAUUUUCACAGCCGCUGGUGAGCCCGUCAUGCUUAAGGAUCUCUGGGACCAAAACGAGGGAAUGGCUGUGGUUGCUCUUCUGAGGCAUUUUGGAUGCCCUUGCUGUUGGGAACUUGCUUCAGCAUUAAAAGAAUCCAAAUCAAAAUUUGACUCAGCUGGCGUCAAACUUAUUGCAAUUGGUGUUGGUGCGCCUAAUAAAGCUCGCAUCCUCGCAGAACGGUUACCGUUUCCGAUGGAUUGCCUUUACGCUGAUCCUGACCGCAAGGCCUAUGAUGUAUUGGGACUAUACUAUGGCUUUGGACGUACAUUCUUCAAUCCUGCUAGUGCUAAGGUGUUCUCAAGGUUUGAUGCUCUGCGAAAAGCUGUCAAAAACUAUACCGUUGAAGCCACUCCAGAUGAUAGAAGUGGUGUUCUGCAACAGGGAGGGAUGUUCUUAUUCAAGGGGAAGGAGUUAUUAUAUGCCAGGAAAGAUGAAGGGACAGGCGACCAUGCUCCCUUAGAUGAUGUCUUUGACAUCUGCUGCAAGGUCACAGUUGCAUGAAGCUUUGUUGAGAGGAAACCUUUCAAAUACAGGGUGAUGAGCUGCAUCAAAUAAUGUUGUUUCAUAACUACUGCCAAGUUUUGCAACUUGCAAGAAAGUGCUGCCUAUAAAUUCUCAUGUGAAGUAUUAAUGUAAUUAUCUUCUGCCAGC